rnacentral:snoRNA from 1 species
AUCCUUCGGUUCACGAGCGUGAUGAUUGGGUGUUCAUGCUGUAUGCAUGAGUUGUGCCUCCCUCAACUCUUGUUACGAAGUCGGCACAUUACCCUUCUGAUC